rnacentral:piRNA from 1 species
UGGCCCUUUUGGCCCUGCCUCAGUGGGGGUU